UUUAUGGUAUCUUAGUGUACAAUGAUUUGCUUAGCUUUAUCAGUCGUGUUUCAAAUGAUCAAAAAUUAAAAAUGGUAUUGUAUAAAUGUGGUCAAAAUAAUUCAAAGCCUAAAGCUUAAACAGUUAAUGAUCGUAUACUUGAAUACGAAUUGAAUGAAUUUAUAACAAGUAAAACUCUUGAGCUGUUAAAUGUUUUAACUGUUGUAAAACUGUUUACUUAGUAUUAACCGUAUUAUAAUACGAUUAAUAGUUUUACAUGGAAGAAUUUACAAUCAAUCAUUUUUGUCAUUGUUUUUUAUAACAUUAUAACCAAGAAAUAGUUAACUUUAUUCAUACACCCUUUUUAUAUUAGAUAAAAAUAUUUUAGUUUUUAUUACCUGCAUAAAUGUUUUUAUACGAUCUAGCGGUGCAGUAGUUGUUUUAGAAAUGGCUCCAGAUAAACCGCCAGCAAAGCAAUGCAUAAACCACACACUUGACUCCGAUUUUCUUAUAACAAUUGCUUGUAUUCCAAAUAAUUUGUUACAGUAUUUAUCAGUGUCACUAUCAUUCAUCAUAAAACUAACUAUUCUUGUGAAAAAUUGAUAAUAUUUAUUUGUUUGAAGUCAAGGUUAAAUAUUCAAUAUAAGCCAAUUAUUUUAUCUUUAAUGCAGUUUAAAUUAUGUUUAAAAAAAUUUAGUAAUCGCUAUUUGGUUAAUGUACUGAAGUAUAUUAGCCGAUUAAGUUAUUAGCCGAUACUCAACAAUUUCGUACAAUUUUAAGGUUGUAAUUAUUAGUCAUUUUUCGUACAUAAGUACAUAUUUAACUACUUUAGAUCAGUGAAAGCUCAGAUUUAAAGUACACAAACAAGUUUAUAUAAUUCAACAUAAACUAUAUAAGGUGUUAAAUUUUCCAUGUGGAAAUGGGGAUAAGAAUACUUUCAUGGCCCAUCUGCCAGUCGUAAGAGGCGACUAAUGAGAUUGCGUCAAGUUAACAGCCGGUGUAAAAUUUUGUUAAAAAGUAUGAGAUGUCCUGAACAAAACUUAGGCGAAUUGAGAAAAACAUUAGAGAAUAUUUCGUGGAACGAGGAACUGAUAGAUUUAAUUAAUGAGAAAGAAGACUAGAUGAAGUGCUAAUAGAAGUAUGAAAAAUAUUAUGCGGUGUUAGCAUAAUGUGGUUAAAGGAUCUUUUUAAUAAAAUACUCAUGGAUAUUUAUCAUGGUAAAAAGUGGGGGAGGAGUAAAAGAAGGUUUUAGGAUAAGAGUAGGAGUGCACCAAGGUUCUACUUUAAGCCCUUACUUAUUCUCUAUAGUGAUGGAUGUAAUAUACAAGGAGAGAUACCGCGAUGCAAGUUGUUCACUGACAAUAUAAUGUUAAUAGGAGAAAAUAGGGAGGAAAUUAAUCAAAUACAUCAGUUGUGCAAAAGAACGGUGGUAUAGAUGUCGCGUCAAGCAUGAAUAAGAUGAGAAAUAAUAGACUUAGAUGGUUGGUCAUGUUAUGACAAAAGAAGAAUCGGAAGCUAUAAGAACAGUUAUGGAAAUUCAUGUUGAAGGAAGAAGAGGUAGAGGAAGACCAAAAAAGAGAUGGAGGGAUGUUAUUAAAUGCGAUAUGAGAACAGUUGAUGUGUGCGUAGAUGAACUAGGAUGUCGUAUCAAGAGAAAGUUUAGAAUAAGGGUGGCCGAACCCAAGUACUUGAGAUAAAGGUGAGAUAAAAGAAAGAAUAAGAUAUUAGUGUUCAAUGAAUGAGGAAACGGAUUCAAUUGCUGUUUGUAACAGUUGACCUGUUUUCUUACUUUUUGAACACUCUAUAAAUCUAUAAAUAUAGACAUCUACACAAUAACAAUAACUGUAGAGCACAAUUGUUUUAAAACAAACUAGUAACAUUUAGAGAGACUGAUAGAACAGGUAAGAGUUGAUUGAUGAUUGUCAAAAAAAAAAUUAGAAAAUUUCUAUAACACAAAAGAUAUACUUAACCAAAAAUUGAUAAGAUCGAGAUUACUGUAUAAGUUUCAAAUAAUACACUACUAACCUUAGAGCAAAAUAAACGCAGAAUUAAACAUUUUUAAAUAGUUUAAUUAGAUCAUUCAAAGAAAUAUGAGAUACAAAUUCUCUAAAAAAUCAAUGAUUUGUCACAUUUUUUGUCGAAAAACUUACUAGUUGAUUUAAUUACAGAUAAGUCUAAAAGCUUUUUAAGCAUUUUAGCAUAACAACAUACUUUUUAAAACAAACCCAAAUUUCGGAAAAAAAAUUAUUGCAGCAAGUAGUUAAUGAUACAGUGAAAAACAUUGAACUAUUAGAGGCUACAACAGUAAAGACAAAGAACAAAAGAUCUUUUUACUACAAAAAUCCACUACACCAAGAGAAGAAUGACCAUGGUGACGAGAGGGCAAUUGACACCCGGGAGGGUGAGUAUAAAGUGAUGAACACCGCUAUGAUUAGCCUGACCUGGUACAAAUAGACAAGGAAAAAUUUCACGCAGUCCAAAUUUCUUUCUUUUGCAUUUCCAACAGUAUUAAAGUAACAUCAGAUGUACUACAGGAUAGCCAUUUAUCUUCCUUAUUUUUUCUUAUAUUUAUAAAUGCUUUAUCAUAUUCAAUAUUAAUAUUGUUUAAUGUAAAUUCUUCUUAUUAGCUGACAAUAUUAAAAUGUUUAUGUGAAUAAACUUAAAAGUUGACGUAGUGUAAUAAAAUUACACUAUAGUAGUAUAAAUAUUACUUAAAAAAUCAGUAGAUUAAAUUAAGGAUCUAGGUAUUAUUAUAUCAGCUGUUUUAUCGUUUUAAAUAAUCAUAAAUGUAAUAUAUGGCAAGAGCUUAUAUCUCUUAAGUUAUGUUAAACGCGUUUUUUUUAUUGUCUUUGCUUAAAAGAGGCCUUUUGUGUAUUGCUAAAUCUAUUCUUGAUAUAGUACAAUGAUAUGAAAUCCUGAUCAAGUUGAUCUUAUAAAUAAAUUAAAAAUCAUUUAAAAACGAUUUUUAAAAUUCUAGGCAUUUAAAAUUGGUAAUAUUAGAAGUAUAGUAAAUAUCACAUAUAUUGAGAUUAAUUCACUAGAAAAUUAGACGAUUAGAA